rnacentral:rRNA from 1 species
UGUNAAUGGGCGCAGCCUGAUCCAGCAAUGCCGCGUGCAGGAUGAAGGCCUUCGGGUUGUAAACUGCUUUUGUGCGGAACGAAACGGUCCCUUCUAAUACAGGGGGCUAAUGACGGUACCGUAAGAAUAAGCACCGGCUAACUACGUGCCAGCAGCCGCGGUAAUACGUAGGGUGCGAGCGUUAAUCGGAAUUACUGGGUGUAAAGCGUGCGCAGGCGGUUAUGUAAGACAGAUGUGAAAUCCCCGGGCUCAACCUGGGACCUGCAUUUGUGACUGCAUAGCUAGAGUACGGUAGAGGGGGAUGGAAUUCCGCGUGUAGCAGUGAAAUGCGUAGAUAUGCGGAGGAACUCCGAUGGCGAAGGCAAUCCCCUGGACCUGUACUGACGCUCAUGCACGAAAGCGUGGGGAGCAAACAGGAUUAGAUACCCUGGUAGUCCGCGCCCUAAACGAUGUCAACUGGUUGUUGGGUCUUCACUGACUCAGUAACGAAGCUAACGCGUGAAGUUGACCGCCUGGGGAGUACCGGCCGCAAGGUUGAAACUCAAAGGAAAUUUNCGGG